rnacentral:rRNA from 1 species
UUUACUUUUUAUAUUUUGUUUUACUUUUAAGUUUUUGUAGUAUCAUUUUUGUUUUAGUUUUUUAAUUAAAAAAUUUUUUUUUAGUUCUGUGAAGGAUUUUAAAUGGGUUUAUGAAAGUUGAUUUAAUGUUGUACCUUGUGUAUCAGGGUUAAUUAAUUUUUAAUAUUUAUAUUGUUUUUCCCGAAUUCAGGAGAUCUAUUUUAUUAUGGAGGUUUUUGUUUCAAAAAGAUCUUUAAUAUUAAGAUUGAAGUGAAAUGUUAUUCGUUCCUGGUGAUAUCUGGUUUUUCAAGAAACGAAUUUAAUUCGUUGAUCAUUUUUUUAUUUCUUUUUUUUGAUGAUAAAUUAUUUGAUCAUGUUUUUAAGGGGGAUUAGCUCUUUUUAAUAAUGUUAUAAUUUUGUUUGUAUUUGGUUUUAUUGGUUUUAUGUUAACUAUUAUUUAUGAUUAUGUUAAAAUUUUAUUUUCGGUUUUUUUUAUUUAUUUAUUAUUUAGUUGUUUUAUUGGAAUGGUUUUUAUUAUUAAUUUAGUUUUUAAUAAUGAUUGAAGUAGUAUAUGUUUUAUUAUCUUUUUUGUUUAUUUGAGUUAAUUUAAAGGAAUUAGGCAAUAAUUAGAUUUUGUCUGUUUAUCAAAAACAUUUCCUGUUGUUUUUAUAAUAGGUAUGGCCUGCCCGCUGAGUUUUAAACUUUAAUGGCCGCGGUAUCUUGACCGUGCGAAGGUAGCAUAAUCAUUAGUCUUUUAAUUGUUGACUGGUAUGAAUGGUUGCACAAGAAACUUUCUGUCUUUUUAUUAUUUAUUGAAAUUAAAAAUUGUGUGAGAAUGCGUGAAUUUUUUUAUGGGACGAGAAGACCCUAUAGAGUUUGAUAUUGCCAUCUUUUUUUUGUUUAUUUGUUUAUUUAAUUUGGUUGUGUUUUGUUGGGGUGAUAGGAAGAUUUAUAAAACUCUUUUUUAUUUUUAUUAUUUAUUUAUAAUUUUUUGAUCCUUUUUUAUUGAUUAAAAGAUAAAAUUACCUUAGGGAUAACAGCGUAAUCUUUUUUGAGAGUUCUAAUUGAUGAAGAGGGUUGCGACCUCGAUGUUGGAUUAAGGUUACUAUGUGGUGCAUCAGCUAUAUUAGUGGGUCUGUUCGACCUUUAAUUCCUUACAUGAUCUGAGUUCAAACCGGCGUGAGCCAGGUUGGUUUCUAUCUAUUUUUUAAAUGUUUUAGUACGAAAGGACCAUUCAUUUUUAAUAAUUAUUUUUGUUUGAUUUAUAUUAAAUUAGGG